rnacentral:sRNA from 1 species
CCGGAGGUAGGGUCCAGCGGCUG